ensembl:lncRNA
CUCUAUCUGGAGAUCAUCCCUCUUGGAGCCCUUCUGCAAGCCAGGACAUGGGUGUAAAAGAGAACCACCACCAUCGCUACAUUUGUUGUAUGCACUGCGUAGAGUUCUUCCAAAUGGUACAAAGGAUGUGAACAAAAUGACUUCCUGUGUUAACACAUACUUCAAAUGUCAAGUUAGGUCCACCAGGAAAAAGCAUGCUUCAUUCAAAUGGAGGAACAGACACAGAACAGAAACCCAGAUCUGGAAUCUGGUGAGAACAGGAAGGGAAAAGAGAAAACCCAAACCCUGGGGCCGUGGAGGUGUUCACGCUGCUGCUUUGCCCUGUGUGCCUCUGCCUCCAUCGCGAGCGGCUCUCGUGGGGGGCUGGCAAACCCCUCCGAGGGAACAAAAGCAUCUCACAACGUCUGCGUUCAACUCAAACCACAUCUUCAGGGAUUCUGAGAAGGACUGAAUCCUACCAGGGAAGUUUUGCCAUUCUAUUUCCCCCUCAUCUCCAGUUACUUCCUGCCUUUUGCACAGCUUUGGGCUAGCCAGGUGCUUUCUAGGAGAGAAAAAUCAGAGCUGUUACCACUGUUCAGUCCCAACAACACUUCCACGGUCUGUUUGGGAUGAGGCCAUCUGGUGAAUCCCCACAACUCAGCCCCUUCACGGUGGUUUUGCACUGUGACCAGAGAUGACACACAACGGGAUGUAACCGCCUGCAUUUUGCAUGGAGGAAUGGGGAGGUGCAGUGCUCUGCCUGAGCACACAGUAAAUCUGUGGCGGAGCCAGAAGCCUUAAGAACGAGCCUUGUAUUCAAAGCAAAAUACCCUCCUUCCUUCAAGCCAAGAAAGAGUGAAAGGAGAGGGCAGCAGAUCAUUUCAUCCAUUGGAGGAGAAGGGGGUACAACGUCAUCCAUGGGCUGAUGAGCAGCCUGAGACUUAGCACUGUGGACCAUCCCCAGGGACCCAUUGCCAAUGCUGCUGUUGCAGAAGACACAAAGACACGUUUACUGUCUGAAGGAGAGGAUGCAGCCACAUCACUCCUCGGUCCGUCUGCCAACCGCUCCGUGGCCAAACGAUGCUAUGGAAAAUGAGCCCCUUGCCAACCCUAAAGGGAAGCUGUAUUGCUUCUUGCCAGGAGGAUGGAAAGAGCCAUGCAGCUGGCACAGGCUUCAUGCUUCUGAUACUGAUAGAACAAGUUCUUGUCAGGGUAGUGUCUGUGCAUUAGCUAUUGGUCAGAAGGCCUUGCUCAAGUCCUUCCACUUGAUGCUGAACAAGCCAACAUCAGAUGUUUGUCACCAAACCCAAUGCCCUGGCUCAAAGCAAAAGCAGUGAGGAAAGCUCCCAGCUGAACCCAACGUUACUCAGGAGAAAAGAGAAACUGUAAAGCAAACUGGAAGAAAAUGGAGCUGUGAGUGUGAACAUACACAGCUCUGUACCCCUGCAGGAUUAACAAAGGCUGGAACUGAAGACUGAGGACCAGUUCCCUGCAUGCUGCUGCUGUUCUGAUAACAUCUCUCAGAACUCCAAUCUUCGAAGACUAAUUUUAAUGACCUUGGUAGUAAGUUUGGAUUAUUACAGGUUAUUUUUUGUAUUCCAUUGUUCAGCUUCAGCAACAAGGUUAGUAUUUUAUCAUAUCCUCAAUUCAGACUGCUCAGUGACAAGUGCUGGGCCAUAUGUAUGCUUAAUCUUUUCCAGUGCCUGGAAAAAGUUUGACUUUCCCUAUGUUCAGCACAGUAACCUCAGUGUCUGUGGUGUGUUUUUCUCUGGUGAUGUACUAAGUGAAAGUGAAGCUCCCCAGCCAUGCUGCUCCCCACAGAGGGGGAUAUGAGCUGAGAACCACAGAUCUGAGACCUCUGUGUCCCAAGCAUGUUGGAGCUGGGGAAGGAGGGGAGAGGGCACUGCUGUGCAACAGCCUUCACACUGCUAAAAAUGCGUGUAUUUAACCCUCAUCAACAAUUGCUGCCAUUAAAUUCAGC